rnacentral:rRNA from 1 species
CCUUAGGGCGUGAUAGGCAUGCAGUCGACGAGAGUAUUGAUGUAGCAAUACAGCGAUACAAGAGUGGCGGAAGGGCGAGGAACGCGUGGGCAAUCUGCCCCUCGGUUGGGGAUAACCCGCCGAAAGGUGAGCUAAUACCGGAUACGAUGGUCUGCCGCAUGGUGGAUUGAUCAAAGAUGGGGAGCCGUAAGGUCCUGUCGCCGGGGGAGGAGCCCGCGUCCUAUCAGCUUGUUGGUGAGGUAACGGCUCACCAAGGCUUACGGGUAGCUGGUCUGAGAGGAUGGUCAGCCGCACUGGGACUGAGACACUGCCCAGACUCCUACGGGAGGCUGCAGUCGAGGAUCAUUCGCAAUGGGCGCAAGCCUGACGAUGCGACGCUGCGUGGAGGAUGAAGGCCUUCGGGUCGUAAACUCCUGUCAUUCGGGAACAAUAAACUGUCCAUUAAUACUGGAUGGAAUUGAUAGUACCGGAAGAGGAAGCCACGGCUAACUCUGUGCCAGCAGCCGCGGUAAUACAGAGGUGGCAAGCGUUGUUCGGAUUUACUGGGCGUAAAGGGUGCGUAGGUGGUAUUGUGUGUCGGGCGUGAAAGCUCACCGCUCAACGGUGAAACGGCGUCCGAAACUACAAAACUAGAGUGCAGGAGGGGAGAGCGGAAUACUUGGUGUAGCGGUGGAAUGCGUUGAGAUCAAGUAGAACACCGGUGGCGUAGGCGGCUCUCUGGAAUGUAACUGACACUGAGGCACGAAAGUUGGGGGAGCAAACAGGAUUAGAUACCCUGGUAGUCCCAACCCUAAACGGUGUGCACUUGUUGUAGGGGGAAUUGACCCCCCCUGUGACGGAGCUAACGCGUUAAGUGCACCGCCUGGGGAGUACGGUCGCAAGAUUAAAACUCAAAGGAAUUGACGG